rnacentral:rRNA from 1 species
GGCUCAGGAUGAACGCUAGCGGCAGGCUUAAUACAUGCAAGUCGUACGGGAUCCGAGGUAGCAAUACUUUGGUGAGAGUGGCGCACGGGUGCGUAACACGUAUGCAACCUACCUUUAACCGGGACACAACCUCGAGAAAUUGAGGCUAAUAUCCCAUAACACUGCGAAGUGGCAUCACUUUGCAGUUAAAACUCCGGUGGUUAUUGAUGGGCAUGCGCGACAUUAGCUAGUUGGUGAGGUAACGGCCCACCAAGGCUACGAUGUCUAGGGGUUCUGAGAGGAUUAUCCCCCACACUGGUACUGAGACACGGACCAGACUCCUACGGGAGGCAGCAGUAAGGAAUAUUGGUCAAUGGGCGCAAGCCUGAACCAGCCAUGCCGCGUGAAGGAUGACGGCCCUAUGGGUUGUAAACUCCUUUUGUACGGGAAAAAACCACCGGUCGUGUAUCGGUGCUGAUGGUACCGUAAGAAUAAGCAUCGGCUAACUCCGUGCCAGCAGCCGCGGUAAUACGGAGGAUGCAAGCGUUAUCCGGAUUCAUUGGGUUUAAAGGGUGCGCAGGCGGAGUGAUAAGUCAGUGGUGAAAGCCUACAGCUUAACUGUAGAACUGCCAUUGAUACUGUCAUUCUUGAGUAUUGUUGAGGUAGGCGGAAUGUGUCAUGUAGCGGUGAAAUGCUUAGAUAUGACACAGAACACCGAUCGCGAAGGCAGCUUACCAAGCAAUAACUGACGCUCAUGCACGAAAGCGUGGGGAUCAAACAGGAUUAGAUACCCUGGUAGUCCACGCCGUAAACGAUGAUCACUCGAUGUUGGCGAUACACAGUCAGCGUCUUAGGGAAACUAUUAAGUGAUCCACCUGGGGAGUACGGUCGCAAGAUUGAA